UACGUAGGGCGCAAGCGUUGUCCGGAAUUAUUGGGCGUAAAGAGCUCGUAGGCGGUUUGUCGCGUCUGCUGUGAAAACCUAAGGCUCAACCUUGGGCUUGCAGUGGGUACGGGCAGACUAGAGUGCGGUAGGGGUGACUGGAAUUCCUGGUGUAGCGGUGGAAUGCGCAGAUAUCAGGAGGAACACCGAUGGCGAAGGCAGGUCACUUGGCCGCAACUGACGCUGAGGAGCGAAAGCAUGGGGAGCGAACAGG
rnacentral:rRNA from 1 species